rnacentral:rRNA from 1 species
UACGGAGGGUGCAAGCGUUAUCCGGAUUCACUGGGUUUAAAGGGUGCGUAGGUGGAUAUGUAAGUCCGUGGUGAAAUCUCUAAGCUUAACUUAGAAACUGCCCUGGAUACUAUAUGUCUUGAAUGUUGUGGAGGUUAGCGGAAUAUGUCAUGUAGCGGUGAAAUGCAUAGAUAUGACAUAGAACACCAAUUGCGAAGGCAGCUGGCUACCCAACGAUUGACACUGAGGCACGAAAGCGUGGGGAUCAAACAGG